AUACGUAGGGGGCAAGCGUUAUCCGGAAUUACUGGGCGUGAAGGGUGCGUAGGUGGCCUGACAAGUCAGGGGUCAAAGGCAACGGCUCAACCGUUGUAAGCCCUUGAAACUGUCGGGCUUGAGUUCAGGAGAGGAAAGCGGAAUUCCUAGUGUAGCGGUGAAAUGCGUGGAUAUUAGGAGGAACACCAGUGGCGAAGGCGGCUUUCUGGACUGAUACUGACACUGAGGCACGAAAGCGUGGGGAGCAAAUAGGAUUAGAUACCCUGGUAGUCCACGCCGUAAACGAUGAGUACUAGGUGUCGGCCCUAAGGGUCGGUGCCGCAGUUAACACAUUAAGUACUCCGCCUGGGAAGUACGCUCGCAAGAGUGAAACUCAAAGGAAUUGACGGGG
rnacentral:rRNA from 1 species